GUAGGAAGCGAGCGUUAUCCGGAUUUACUGGGCGUAAAGCGUGUGUAGGCGGUUUGAUAAGUUGGAUGUGAAAGCUCCUGGCUUAACUGGGAGAGGUCGUUCAAAACUGUCAGACUCGAGAGUGGUAGAGGGAGGUGGAAUUCCGGGUGUAGUGGUGAAAUGCGUAGAUAUCCGGAGGAACACCAGUGGCGAAAGCGGCCUCCUGGCCCAUUUCUGACGCUCAGACACGAAAGCUAAGGUAGCAAACGGGAUUAGAGACCCCGGUAGUCUUAGCUGUAAACGAUGUGAACUUAGUGUCGGUGGGUUUAAAUCCAUCGGUACUGAAGCAAACGCGAUAAGUUCACCGCCUGGGGACUACGGCCGCAAGGUUA
rnacentral:rRNA from 1 species